GCCCUAGUAUUCCAACUGGCAGAGAAGACGGCCUCAAAAUCCGUACAGUGUGGGUUCGAAUCCCACCUAGGGCA
rnacentral:tRNA from 1 species